GGACUCGCUCCGGCAGCACGUAUACAAAAAUUGGAACGAUAUAGAGAAGAUUAGCAUGGUCCUUCAGCAAGAAUGACACGGAAAUUUGUGAAGCAGUCCAUAUUUUA